rnacentral:pre_miRNA from 17 species
GUGAGUGUUUCUUUGGCAGUGUCUUAGCUGGUUGUUGUGAGCAAUAGUGAAGGAAGCAAUCAGCAAGUAUACUGCCCUAGAAGUGCUGCAC